AGUGAACGCUGGCGGUAGGCCUAACACAUGCAAGUCGAACGGCAGCACUGUAAGAGCUUGCUCUUACGGGUGGCGAGUGGCGGACGGGUGAGGAAUACAUCGGAAUCUACCUUUUCGUGGGGGACAACGUAGGGAAACUUACGCUAAUACCGCAUACGACCUACGGGUGAAAGCAGGGGAUCUUCGGACCUUGCGCGAUUGCAUGAGCCGAUGUCGGAGUAGCUAGUUGGCGGGGUAAAGGCCCCCCAAGGCGACGAUCCGUAGCUGGUCGGAGAGGAUGAUCAGCCAGACUGGAACGGAGACACGGUCCAGACGCCUACGGGAGGCAGCAGGGGGGAAUAUUGGGGAAGGGGCGCAAGCCUGAUCCCGCCAUACCGCGUGGGUGAGGAAGGCCUUCGGGUGGGAAAGCCCUGUUGUUGGGAAAGAAAAGCAGCAGGUUAAUACCCCGCUGUUCUGACGGUACCCAAAGAAUAAGCACCGGCUAACUUCGUG
rnacentral:rRNA from 1 species